rnacentral:rRNA from 1 species
AGAAUCAACGCUGGCGGCGUGCCUAACACAUGCAAGUCGCACGAGAAAGUGGAGCAAUCCAUGAGUAAAGUGGCGCACGGGUGAGUAACACGUGAAUUAUCUACCUCCGAGUGGGGAAUAACUGAGAGAAAUCUUAGCUAAUACCGCAUAACACUUACGAGUCAAAGCAGCAAUGCGCUUGGAGAGGAGUUCGCGGCCGAUUAGUUAGUUGGCGGGUAAUGGCCCACCAAGACGAUGAUCGGUA